AACGAACGCUGGCGGCGCGCCUAAUACAUGCAAGUCGAGCGAGAAGACGUAGCAAUACGUUUGUAAAGCGGCGAACGGGUGAGGAAUACAUGGGUAACCUACCCUCGAGUGGGGAAUAACUAGCCGAAAGGUUAGCUAAUACCGCGUACGCUCCUUGGACUUCGGUUCAGGGAGGAAAGCGAUACCGUGGGUAUCGCGCUCUUGGAUGGGCUCAUGUCCUAUCAGCUUGUUGGUGAGGUAACGGCUCACCAAGGCUUCGACGGGUAGCUGGUCUGAGAGGACAAUCAGCCACACUGGCACUGCGACACGGGCCAGACUCCUACGGGAGGCAGCAGUAAGGAAUAUUGCGCAAAUGGGCGAAAGCCUGACGCAGCGACGCCGCGUGGGGGAUGAAGGUCUUCGGAUUGUAAACCCCUUUCGGGA
rnacentral:rRNA from 1 species